rnacentral:rRNA from 1 species
UUGUUGGUAAGGUAAAAGCUUACCAAGGCUUCGAUCAGUAGCUGGUCUGAGAGGACGACCAGCCACACUGGGACUGAGACACGGCCCAGACUCCUACGGGAGGCAGCAGUGGGGAAUUUUGGACAAUGGGGGCAACCCUGAUCCAGCCAUGCCGCGUGAGUGAAGAAGGCCUUCGGGUUGUAAAGCUCUUUCAGCCGGAACGAAACGGUUACGGAUAACACCCGUGACUACUGACGGUACCGGAAGAAGAAGCACCGGCUAACUACGUGCCAGCAGCCGCGGUAAUACGUAGGGUGCGAGCGUUAAUCGGAAUUACUGGGCGUAAAGCGUGCGCAGGUGGUUUUGUAAGUCAGAUGUGAAAGCCCCGGGCUCAACCUGGGAACUGCGUUUGAAACUACAAGACUAGAGUGUGGCAGAGGGGGGUGGAAUUCCGCGUGUAGCAGUGAAAUGCGUAGAGAUGUGGAGGAACACCGAUGGCGAAGGCAGCCCCCUGGGUCAACACUGACGCUCAGGCACGAAAGCAUGGGGAGCAAACAGGAUUAGAUACCCUGGUAGUCCAUGCCCUAAACGAUGUCAACUAGUUGUCGGGCCUUUACGGGCUUGGUAACGUAGCUAACGCGUGAAGUUGACCGCCUGGGGAGUACGAUCGCAAGAUUAAAACUCAAAUGAAUUGACGGGGACCCGCACAAGCGGUGGAUUAUGUGGAUUAAUUCGAUGCAACGCGAAAAACCUUACCUACCCUUGACAUGUAUCGAAGCCCGCAGAAAAGCGGGGGUGCCCGAAAGGGAACGAUAACACAGGUGCUGCAUGGCUGUCGUCAGCUCGUGUCGUGAGAUGUUGGGUUAAGUCCCGCAACGAGCGCAACCCUUGUCAUUAAUUGCCAUCAUUUAGUUGGGCACUUUAAUGAGACUGCCGG